CAUCUACAAAUUCUACACGUCGCAUUUCCACUAUCCUGCUGUCUCUGAGUGGAAGAAAGGGCCAUUUCUUCCUCCGAAUCCCAAUUUGGAUAAAGCAGUAACCCCCUCUAUUUGCUACCAGAGGAUGGGGCGGGACCUCUCUCCCCCAGCUCAGGGUAGAAGUGCUGGUGUUGAAGCGGAGUCUUGUGAGGGGCCUGUGGAGAAGGCAUGGUUUACACGCUCAACGGACCCACGACACUGGAAAUCCGACAACCAAUCAGAGCGUAAGGAUGUGUAGCGAGCAUCUUUUUUUCAGGCUCGGUCAACGCCAUGCCUGACCCAGUGGAAUUGUUCAACGGGGCUUUGGAGGCGAACUUUCAGAUAGGGAGCUCAGCUUGGUUAGCGGACCCCAGCUGCCGGGUUCCGAAAGCGGCCCCGUUUCCGCUCGGGCGUCGCUGAUUGGAGGGCUCGGGAGAAGGAGGUGGGCGCAGCCAAUCCGGACCGGCCUCCGCCGCUUUCCUUCCCGCCCCCGGGCUUCCAGGGGAGUUGGCAUCCGAGCCGGGCACCGCUGUCAGCCUGAGCUCUCCUGGGGCCAGAGGCAGGAGGCCGAGGCUGCAGUCGCCAGCGCACAGGCCAUGGCCUCCUCGGGGCUGGCCCAGCCCCCCUCCGAGGACUCUCCCUGGCCUCUGAGCCUACUGCACGCGUCCCCGGGGCUGCUGCGGCUGGACCCCACCGGCGGCGCGCUGCUGCUGCUCGUCCUCGCCGCGCUGCUGGGCUGGAACUGGCUGUGGCGGCGCCCAGAGCCGGGCAUCCCCCCGGGGCCCACGCCCUGGCCGGUGGUGGGUAACUUCGGUUUCGUGCUGCUGCCGCCUUUCCUCCGACGGAAGAGCUGGCCGUAUGGCCGGGCGAAGACCAAUCCCUUAAAUACCUCGGGCCUGAGCGCACAGUUGCUCCUGGCUGAGCUGGCCCACGUGUAUGGCAACAUUUACAGCUUCUUCAUCGGCCACUACCUGGUGGUGGUCCUCAACGACUUCCACAGCGUGCGCGAGGCGCUGGUGCAGCAGGCCGAGGUCUUCAGCGACCGUCCGCGGAUGCCGCUCAGCUACAUCCUGACCAAGGGGAAGGGGAUUGUAUUCGCCCAUUAUGGUCCAGUCUGGAGACAACAGAGGAAGUUCUCUCAUUCAACUCUUCGUCAUUUUGGCUUGGGAAAGCUUAGCUUGGAGCCCAAGAUCAUUGAAGAGUUCAGAUUUGUGAAAGAGGAAAUGCAAAAGCAUGGAGAGGACCCCUUCAAUCCUUUCCCCAUUGUCAACAAUGCCGUCUCCAACAUCAUUUGCUCUCUGUGCUUUGGCCAGCGCUUUGAUUACACCAAUAGCGAGUUUAAGAAAAUGCUGAAUUUCAUGUCACGAGCCUUAGAAAUCUGUCUGAACACCCAGCUCCUCCUGGUCAACAUAUGCUCCUGGCUUUAUUACCUUCCUUUUGGACCCUUUAAGGAACUAAGACAGAUUGAAAAGGAUAUAACCACUUUCCUUAAAAAAAUCAUCAAAGACCAUCGAGAGUCUCUGGAUGUAGCGAACCCUCAGGAUUUCAUAGACAUGUAUCUUCUCCACGUGGAGGAGGAGAGGAAAAAUAAUGGCAAUAGUAGUUUUGAUGAAGAUUACUUAUUUUAUAUCAUUGGAGAUCUCUUCAUUGCUGGGACUGAUACCACAACCAACUCUUUGCUUUGGUGCCUUCUGUAUAUGUCACUCAACCCUGACGUACAAGCCAGGUUAUUUAAAUUCGGAUCAGCAACCUUGGGGAUCCUUUGGCUCCUAUCAAUCAUCAGUGUCUUCAGGCUGGAAGACACCAUGGAAACACUCGCAUCUCACAGGGAACUGAAAAGGUUCAUGAAGAAAUCGAAAGGGUCAUUGGUGCUGACCGCGCCCCGUCCCUCACUGACAAGGCGCAGAUGCCUUACACAGAAGCCACCCUCAUGGAGGUGCAGAGGCUGAGCGUGGUGGUGCCGCUGUCUAUUCCUCACAUGACCUCAGAGAAAACAGUGCUCCAAGGGUAUACCAUCCCGAAAGGCACGAUAAUAUUACCCAACUUGUGGUCAGUACACAGAGACCCAGCCAUUUGGGAGAAACCAGAUGAUUUCUAUCCUAAUCGAUUUCUGGAUGAUCAAGGACAGCUUAUUAAAAAGGAAUCAUUUAUUCCUUUUGGGAUAGGUAAGAGCGAGCAAAGAGAUAAGUAGGUAUGGAGGAGACAAGGUAGCCCGCCUCAUGGAUCCGCCUCUAGCUCCUGUCUAGGAUGAGGAUAGCUUUUUAUGAGUAGGAGUUAAAAUAUGAACUUGGGAAACGGGUGUGUAUGGGAGAGCAGCUGGCGAAGAUGGAGAUAUUCCUGAUGUUCGUGAGCCUGAUGCAGAGUUUCACGUUUGCUUUGCCCAAGGACUCCAAGCCGAACCUGACCGGAAAAUAUGGUCUCACCUUAGCCCCACAUCCAUUUAAUAUCAUCGCUUCAAAGAGAUAAAGAACAUCUCCUUGAAGAGAUGGUGCCCAGAAUGUAAAUACAUGUCCUUCUAAACAGAUUUUCCUCCUGGAAUUGACAGCGGAUCCAGCAGCACUGUGGGUCCAGCUUAGGCUCAGAGCAGAGAAAGGUUGGAAAGAGGGCAGAGCGCAGGGACCUUGCAUCGUCAUGGAGGCUCCUCAGCAGGACCCUUAGGCCAUCUCAGUAAUGCACGUGACCUUGGGGAUGGGGACCAAGGCACGGGAUGGGGAAGCAGGGGAUCUGGAUGCUAUUCCCCGUGGCCUCCAGCCGUGAGCAUCUCUUCUCAUCCCUCAGUGCCUCAAUCAUUCCACAUGUAAAGUAAGGGUAACAAAACGUGCCUUCUCUAUCUCAGCACGAACGAAGGUCGAAUGCCCCAUAUCGUUACUGACAUCCCCAAAACACCGUCACAUUCUGGAGGACAAAUUCAGGAGGAGAAGGAAGACCUACCUGUGUAAGACCCAUGACAACGCGAAAAUGGUGUUCAGACUCGAAUGCUUCAUCAGAGAGGGAUGCGGGUUUAGUUGACAGUGAGCAAGAGCUUUUAUUGGUACAGACCUUAUGUCCAUUCUGGGUGGGAGGGCUCGUUUUCUUAUCAGUAUCUUUUUGUUAAAGAUAACAUUUUAGUUUGCACUUUUUGUAGACAACGGAAUGAAGCGGACCCUUGUUCAGUAUGUUGAGGACAGAUUAUCCUCUGAAUUUACAUGUCUGCCUUCCAUUUCAACUAUAUGAAAACAGCGAGAGUGUCUUCAUGGCUGCAGAAGUGUCUUCAUGGCUGAAUUCCUUUCUGCUGAGUUUACGUCUAAGGAUUGUAGCUCUAGCCUUUGACUUGAGCCCUGAGUAGUGAGCUCGGGAAUUUUGAUACUGGGAUUCAUCAGGAAAGGAUUCAAACUGUACUGAACCUUCCUUUCCUGUUCCUCCUGCCACCAGGCCUAAUGUGUCUCAUCCUUGAAGACCCUCAAAGACAGAAGGGCAUUCUUAUGAAGAUUACGAAAUUGUUUCUUCUCUUGUUCUUCUUCUUUCUUAUGUCCUAUCUGGUUUCGUAAUGUUUUUCUUGCUCUAUCAUAAUCUUGAGGUCUUUUGCCAGUUUUUUUUGCAAAUGUUCUGUGCAAAUAGUUCCACAUGUAGUUGUAUUUUCAAUGUAUUUGUGGGAGUAGAUGAGCCUUACAUCCUGCUACUCCACCAUCUCAGCCCUGUCCCUAAAUUGUUUCUUAAUAAAUAAGUUCCCUCUAAAGAGCAGGUCUCAAAAAAGAAAAUAAGCUCUUUCAGGGGAUGUUUGGAAAGAUGCAGUAAUAAUAUAAGCAACUGUACUUAAUGGUGCCGGUAUGAAGAAGGAAGGGCUUCGGAAAGGAUGCCCUUUGGUAGCCGAUGAAGCUCAGGCUUAGAGAAGUUAAGGUUCAGUUAAAAAGUACCAAACCUACCAGUCUUUGCAACUGGAGAGCUUUUCCUGGACCACUUCUCUGUACUGUCACCACUUGAUUGCCUCGCAGUCUGUCCCUAGGUAUUUUCAAUACAGCGAAAUGAAAUCCAGGCUAAUCUUUAGGGGCCUUGAGGAUUUUUGUUAACCAAAGAAAGGAAAACUAAUGAACGAAACACUUGGAUUUUGUGAGUGAACAGAGAGGUUCUUGUGUAGAUUUUAGAUGGAUGAUGCAUGUGUGGGCUGCCUGCACUUUGUUCCUGAUCUGGAAUUUCAUAUGCUUUAGACUUGCCCCUGGUAACUUAACCAGUGCAAUACACCUUAAUUUAUCCAUGCAUUUUCAAUACCCCUAACUGAACAGUUUGUAACUAACUUGAGAGAAAAAAACUCUUCUGCAAGAUUAUGUUGAAAUCAGAGGUUUAUUAAACUUUACAAUAUAACGCCUUAAACUGUAGCACUUUAAAAACAUCUGUUUCCGGCAAAUCACCGAAAGGAUGGUUAAUGCUUUCCUCGCACGUGUUGAUGUUUUACAAUUUUGUACUUAAUGAUUUAUUUGAAGUUUAAAAAUAGUAGUACUUGGCUUUAUAAGUCUGCCUAACAUCUACUUUUUAGUCUCAUCUUUAGCAUAAUUUUGAUGCUUUUAUUAAACUUUGAAUAUUAACUGA